rnacentral:rRNA from 1 species
GUCGAGCGGUAACAGAAAGUAGCUUGCUACUUUGCUGACGAGCGGCGGACGGGUGAGUAAUGCUUGGGAACAUGCCUUGAGGUGGGGGACAACAGUUGGAAACGACUGCUAAUACCGCAUAAUGUCUACGGACCAAAGGGGGCUUCGGCUCUCGCCUUUAGAUUGGCCCAAGUGGGAUUAGCUAGUUGGUGAGGUAAUGGCUCACCAAGGCGACGAUCCCUAGCUGGUUUGAGAGGAUGAUCAGCCACACUGGGACUGAGACACGGCCCAGACUCCUACGGGAGGCAGCAGUGGGGAAUAUUGCACAAUGGGCGCAAGCCUGAUGCAGCCAUGCCGCGUGUGUGAAGAAGGCCUUCGGGUUGUAAAGCACUUUCAGUCAGGAGGAAAGGUUAGUAGUUAAUACCUGCUAGCUGUGACGUUACUGACAGAAGAAGCACCGGCUAACUCCGUGCCAGCAGCCGCGGUAAUACGGAGGGUGCGAGCGUUAAUCGGAAUUACUGGGCGUAAAGCGUACGCAGGCGGUUUGUUAAGCGAGAUGUGAAAGCCCCGGGCUCAACCUGGGAACUGCAUUUCGAACUGGCAAACUAGAGUGUGAUAGAGGGUGGUAGAAUUUCAGGUGUAGCGGUGAAAUGCGUAGAGAUCUGAAGGAAUACCGAUGGCGAAGGCAGCCACCUGGGUCAACACUGACGCUCAUGUACGAAAGCGUGGGGAGCAAACGGGAUUAGAUACCCCGGUAGUCCACGCCGUAAACGAUGUCUACUAGAAGCUCGGA